UACGAAGGGGGCUAGCGUUGCUCGGAAUCACUGGGCGUAAAGGGUGCGUAGGCGGGUUUUUAAGUCAGAGGUGAAAUCCUGGAGCUCAACUCCAGAACUGCCUUUGAUACUGAAAGUCUUGAGUAUGGGAGAGGUGAGUGGAACUGCGAGUGUAGAGGUGAAAUUCGUAGAUAUUAGGAAGAACACCAGUGGCGAAGGCGGCUCACUGGCCCGGUACUGACGCUCAUGUGCGAAAGCGUGGGGAGCAAACAGG
rnacentral:rRNA from 1 species